rnacentral:rRNA from 1 species
UACGUAGGGACCAAGCGUUGUUCGGAUUUACUGGGCGUAAAGGGCGCGUAGGCGGCGCUGUAAGUCACUUGUGAAAUCUCCGGGCUUAACUCGGAACGGUCAAGUGAUACUGCAGUGCUAGAGUGCAGAAAGGGCAAUCGGAAUUCUUGGUGUAGCGGUGAAAUGCGUAGAUAUCGGGAGGAACACCUGUGGCGAAAGCGGCGCACUGGACCACAACUGACGCUGAUGCGCGAAAGCUAGGGGAGCAAACAGG